rnacentral:rRNA from 1 species
GACGAACGCUGGCGGCGUGCUUAACACAUGCAAGUCGAACGGUGAAGCGCUUUCCUUUUUGGUUGGUGUGGAUGAGUGGCGAACGGGUGAGUAACACGUGAGUAACCUGCCCCCUUCUUCUGGAUAACCGCAUGAAAGUGUGGCUAAUACGGGAUAUUCUGCGCCUGCUGCAUGGUGGGUGUGGGAAAGAUUGUGCCUUUGGGUGUUUUCGGUGGGGGAUGGGCUCGCGGCCUAUCAGCUUGUUGGUGGGGUGAUGGCCUACCAAGGCGGUGACGGGUAGCCGGCCUGAGAGGGUGGACGGUCACACUGGGACUGAGACACGGCCCAGACUCCUACGGGAGGCAGCAGUGGGGAAUAUUGCACAAUGGGCGCAAGCCUGAUGCAGCGACGCCGCGUGAGGGAUGGAGGCCUUCGGGUUGUGAACCUCUUUCGCCAGUGAAGCAGGCCUGCUCCGUGUGGGUGGGUUGACGGUAGCUGGAUAAGAAGCGCCGGCUAACUACGUG